rnacentral:rRNA from 1 species
GACGAACGCUGGCGGCGUGCCUAAUACAUGCAAGUAGAACGCUGAAGAGAGGAGCUUGCUCUUCUUGGAUGAGUUGCGAACGGGUGAGUAACGCGUAGGUAACCUGCCUGGUAGCGGGGGAUAACUAUUGGAAACGAUAGCUAAUACCGCAUGAUAUUAAUUGUCGCAUGAUAAUUAAUUGAAAGAUGCAAUUGCAUCACUACCAGAUGGACCUGCGUUGUAUUAGCUAGUUGGUGAGGUAACGGCUCACCAAGGCGACGAUACAUAGCCGACCUGAGAGGGUGAUCGGCCACACUGGGACUGAGACACGGCCCAGACUCCUACGGGAGGCAGCAGUAGGGAAUCUUCGGCAAUGGGGGGAACCCUGACCGAGCAACGCCGCGUGAGUGAAGAAGGUUUUCGGAUCGUAAAGCUCUGUUGUAAGAGAAGAACGGGUGUGAGAGUGGAGGCUUCACACCUGGACGUAUCUACCAGAAAG